rnacentral:rRNA from 1 species
GGACGAACGCUGGCGGCGUGCUUAACACAUGCAAGUGGAGCGACGAACCAGGGCUUGCCCUGGGGCAGAGCCGCGAACGGGUGAGUAACACGUGGGUAACGUGCCCCGAGUGAUCGGGACAACCCGGGGAAACCCGGGCGGUAAUACCGGAAUGGUGCUCCCCUCACACCAGUGAGGGAGUAGGAAAGGAAGCUUCGGCCUCCGCAUCGGGAUCGGCCGCGGCCCAUCAGCUUGUUGGUGAGGUAACGGCNCACAAGGCUG